rnacentral:rRNA from 1 species
UCUGGUAUGAAAGGUUUGACGAGAUAUUAACUGUUUCAUAAAAAUUUAUAAUAGAAUUUUAUUUUUUAGUCAAAAAGCUAAAAUAUAUUUAAAAGACGAGAAGACCCUAUAAAUCUUUAUAUCUAGAUUAUUAUAAUUUUAUAGAUUUUUUUUGUUAUAAUAAUUAAUGAUAUUUUAUUGGGGUGAUAUUAAAAUUUAAUAAACUUUUAAUUGUUAAAAUCAUUAAUUUAUGAAUAAUUGAUCCGUUAUUAGCGAUUAAAAAAAUAAGUUACCUUAGGGAUAACAGCGA